UACAGAGGGUGCGAGCGUUGUUCGGAAUCAUUGGGCGUAAAGCGCUUGUAGGCGGCCUGUCAAGUCGCGUGUGAAAUCCCUUGGCUUAACCAAGGAAGUGCGCGCGAAACUGGCGGGCUUGAGUGCCGGAGAGGGUCGCGGAAUUCCCGGUGUAGAGGUGAAAUUCGUAGAUAUCGGGAGGAACACCGGUGGCGAAGGCGGCUAUCUGGACAGAAACUGACGCUGAGGCGCGAAAGCUAGGGGAGCAAACAGG
rnacentral:rRNA from 1 species